rnacentral:rRNA from 1 species
UACGUAGGGUGCGAGCGUUAAUCGGAAUUACUGGGCGUAAAGCGUGCGCAGGCGGUUUUGUAAGCCAGAUGUGAAAAUCCCCGGGCUCAACCUGGGAAUGGCAAUGGAGACUGCAAGGCUAGAGUUUGGCAGGGGGGGGGUAGAAUUCCACGUGUAGCAGUGAAAUGCGUAGAUAUGUGGAGGAACACCGAUGGCGAAGGCAGCCCCCCUGGGUCAAAAACUGACGCUCAUGCACGAAAGCGUGGGGAGCAAACAGG